AUGGGCCCGAGGCGUGGGUCGCGCAAGAAGCAAAGUAGUGUACGUGUGUCUGGCCCGGAUUGGGCCCAGUGAUGAGGCGUGUUGUAACGAGUACAAAUACUAUCUCGAGCGUGUGGCUCGGUAUCGCUAAUCAAACAAGACAAUCCUUCUUCUCUGUUCCUCUCUCUCGUGCUAGCCUCUCCUCCUCCGAUUCCCUUCCAUCUACCAGGAGACGCUAACAAACACACACAAUCUGCGUUUCUCACAAGAUGGUGAAUUGAUGACACAUCUAACCUUGAUUCUCUCUGCAGGCUGCCAGGGACUGACCUGAUCACCUGAAUGGCCAUUUUCAGGGGCAGUCUGGUGUAGCUCAUUAUUGUUAUUUGUCAUGGGGGUAGGAGAAGCACUACCUGCUUAAUACCAAGAAGGUUGAUCGUUGGCAGGUUUGAAGCUGGAACUGAGAGAACUAUGGAAUGUCAGGAGAUGAUCUUACGCUGUGCUCAAUAUGUCAGGAUGAACGUUGUACUCCUUGGCAAACACAAACGGCACGAUUCCUUGAGAAGAACUCCACGCAGCCCAACAGCAAUGGAGGCAGCAGUCAUGACUGCUGGACCCAUGAGGAACCGGACGGCCAUCGCAAAUGCAGCAAGUUUGUUCCCACAGGCAAUGAUCCGCGGCUGCAAUGCCAUGAACAAGCCUGAAAGAAUAGACAGUUAUGUCUGCAGCUAUUAAGCCAUACAUGAUACAGCCAUACAGGAAUAGAAUUACAGAAACAUAGAGCAAUGAGAUAUCAGAUAUCCACA